GAUGAACGCUGGCGGCGUGCUUAACACAUGCAAGUCGAGCGAAGCAGUUAAGUUGAUUUCUUCGGAUUGAUUCUUAACUGACUGAGCGGCGGACGGGUGAGUAACGCGUGGGUGACCUGCCCCGUACCGGGGGAUAACAGCUGGAAACGGCUGCUAAUACCGCAUAAGCGCACAGAGCUGCAUGGCUCGGUGUGAAAAACUCCGGUGGUAUGGGAUGGGCCCGCGUCUGAUUAGGCAGUUGGCGGGGUAACGGCCCACCAAACCGACGAUCAGUAGCCGGCCUGAGAGGGCGACCGGCCACAUUGGGACUGAGACACGGCCCAAACUCCUACGGGAGGCAGCAGUGGGGAAUAUUGCACAAUGGGGGAAACCCUGAUGCAGCGACGCCGCGUGAGCGAAGAAGUAUUUCGGUAUGUAAAGCUCUAUCAGCAGGGAAGAUAAUGACG
rnacentral:rRNA from 1 species